CCUUAUCAACAUUUGGUGGUGUCAGUGUUUUGGAGUUUAGCCAUUCUAAUAGUGAGUUGUUACAGAGGCGGCAUGCAGCCAGAGCAGCGAGAGUGGUACCGCCAAGCUCCUUCCCGGGGAACUACACUCAGCUUCUCAGCAUCAAGCCACGAUAGCUUUGAACUGUGUCUGUGAGCAUCUGUGCUUCAUCUCAAUUCAUUUUGUGCAUCUGUUAGCAAGAUGGGUCCCGAGGUAAUUGCUUCUUUGUUCACACCUUUUCGGCUUACGGAAGUUUUACAGGAACGCUCUACUUUCAGAUAGUGGGGGAAAACUGUACCUAAAGGUACAAAUUUGAGGAACAGGUAAGGUGGCGACCCAGAUAGCCUGGACAGACUAGAAUUCAUCCUAUUGGGUCAUGAGCUCAAGAAGCAACUGCUGUGGAGUUUCUCUAACUACACAUUUCCCCCCAAAUCGGUGCCCACCGUGUAUCUGCUGCUCCUUCUCUAGACCAGCUGGAACAGCACCCCCAGUCUGCUGAAACCUAAGUCCCACCACAGGUUCCAGAUAAAGAGGCAUUAGGACUCCAAUAACCAAGCCCCUGUGGAUCAACUAAGAGAAGAGGAUGAUUCUGGAAUCCACAGAUAACCUUUCUUUUUCUAUUCCUGCCUUGAAGAAGUUUAGACUCUGUAGUCCUAGAAAUGCAGUUAGUGGAACUGGCAGCCUUGCACCCACCCCUAUGGAAAGAUAUACACUGAAGUAAAUACCUUUGGCACAAUGGCAUGGUUUAGGUGGUAUUUCAGAGGCAACAACAGGCAUCUGAGCAAUCUGCCAUCUCAUUGACAUUCUACCACAUGCCUCAAAAUUCUCCAGGCAGGCUCACCUAAAAAAUCUUGCAAGGCAUGUACUUCAGGUAAAUUCUAACUAUAAUUUAGGUGCAUUUGAGUGAUUCCAGACCUUCAGAUGUUAAUCACUUGGCAGGACAUAGAGUCCAAGAGAAGUGAUGUGUGAUGACUUGAAAAAGAUUUAAGCACUGAAUGGUUGAAAGGGUUCCUGUGAAAUUGCUUUACCCUCACUUAAUCUGGCUCUUAGCUUUUAAAAUCAAUUAAAAUGUACUUUAUUUGGAGAUUUUCCCUACAAAUACAGUAGCACAUGUGUAGCAUGUAGCCUAUUAAAUAGGUAGCCUAGGUAGAUAUUAAAUAGGACUUCCUAUCUUUCUGGGGAGCAUUUUUUUCCUGACUAUUUGGUAACAUCCUUUCCUUGAUCCCUGCAAAAUGUCACCGUUGAGGUCUAAUCCUCAUGAAGUUAAACACACUGAUCCUUCCCUUGGACUCCUUGUGAAUGAAAGGGAAGGCUUAGCCCGUAGAAGUUUUAUUUGCUUUGGGUAAGCUAUACCCCUAGAUGCAAAGAGUUAAAAGGGUGUUUUGCAUCUUCAGAAUGAAGUUUUGGAAAUACAUAAAGAACAAGCUCAACAUGUAUCCAAACUAGGGAUCUGGUGGAUUUGGGAUAAAACCUGGACUAUUUUGGAUGUACUACCAAGUAGACUUUUCUCUGAAUGAUGGGUUUUAUUUGAACUCCCUAAAAUAAAAUGCCUUUUAACUUUU